UUUGUACUUCCUCCAUCCCUAGAUUCUUGUCUUAGAUUUGUUUAGAUACAGAUGUAUCUAAUACUAAAACGUGACUUGAUACAUCCGUAUUUAGACAAAUGUAAGACAAGAAUUUUGGGACGGAGGGAGUAGAUA
rfam:Triticum aestivum genome assembly, contig: Triticum_aestivum_CS42_TGACv1_scaffold_145844_2BS